UACGUAGGGUGCGAGCGUUAAUCGGAAUUACUGGGCGUAAAGCGUGCGCAGGCGGUUUGCUAAGACCGAUGUGAAAUCCCCCGGGCUUAACCUGGGAACUGCAUUGGUGACUGGCAGGCUAGAGUAUGGCAGAGGGGGGGUAGAAUUCCACGUGUAGCAGUGAAAAUGCGUAGAGAUGUGGAGGAAUACCGAUGGCGAAAGGCAGCCC
rnacentral:rRNA from 1 species